GACGAACGCUGGCGGCGUGCCUAAUACAUGCCAGUCGAGCGGACGAAUCGAAAGCUUGCUUUUGAUUCGUUAGCGGCGGACGGGUGAGUAACACGUGGGCAACCUGCCCUGUAGACGGGGAUAACACCGAGAAAUCGGUGCUAAUACCGGAUAACACGAAAUGUCGCAUGACGUUUCGUUGAAAGACGGCGCAAGCUGCCGCUACAGGAUGGGCCCGCGGCGCAUUAGCUAGUUGGUGAGGUAACGGCUCACCAAGGCGACGAUACGUAGCCGACCUGAGAGGGUGAUCGGCCACACUGGGACUGAGACACGGCCCAGACUCCUACGGGAGGCAGCAGUAGGGAAUCUUCCGCAAUGGACGAAAGUCUGACGGAGCAACGCCGCGUGAGCGAAGAAGGCCUUCGGGUCGUAAAGCUCUGUUGUUAGGGAAGAACAAGUAACGCAGUAACUGGCGUUACCGUGACGGUACCUAACGAGAAAGCCACGGCUAACUACGUG
rnacentral:rRNA from 1 species